GCUGGGGCGCGAUUCACAUCUCAACCGAAAUAUUUGUAAAGCGAUACGAACGAGUUACGAGAUGAAAUCCGCAAUGUUUAAAAACGCGAUUCAUAGCACACAUACUUUGAUCUCGUUUUCAUAUCGCUAGUUCGUAUUUGGAUGGCUUGAGUGAAAUGAAUGAAACUAUAUUUUUUUUAAUUGCCAUGCAAAAAUUAUAAAUACUACCACUAAUUGUUUUAAAUAAUUUUGUUCCUACAAUAUAUUUUGUUGGAAUUAGUGUCGAUAGCAAGUAUCAAGAAACAGCUUUUUAAUUCAACGUUGAAGAAAUUCAUAACCUGUGGCAAUUUUGACAGCCGCCAUGUUUUCUCCAUAAAUACAUUGAUUUUCUUUGCUCAUUUUCGUGUCAACGUAGUUUUUUUGGAAAAUAAGAAGAAAUGAAGUUUAACUUACUUAGAGAAAUACGACUGAGACAUAAACACAAGCAGCAGCCGAUGUGCUUGAGUAGCAGAAGGAGCAACUGCGUUGUGAGAGGGCCACGGCUUCAGCCCUCACAAUGAUAGCUGAUUAGCUGAAGUAAUGAACAGACAGGCUGCAGUCAAUGAGAGGCUUCUUGAGGAGGUGUUCCUCAUAUGGAAAUCGUAGGUUAUUCCUAAAUGUUUGGCUAAAUAAUAGAAUAGAAUUUAACUUCAUUGUUACCCCAAUAAUGUCUUAGGAAAACUGGUGUUGAAUAUUUAUGUUACAGCGUAGUUUUGUUUAGUAUCUGUCUGUAAUUUUUUAGAACAAUAUCAUACUGAACUUUUCAUUUUGUCUUUUCUAGGCUAAUGAAAGGAACAAUCAAGACCAGACUUAAAGUAAAAUAAUACGUAUACAUAAUUUAUAUCGGAAUAAGUACAAAAUAUUUUUGUAGGUAUAUGUUUUAACUAUAAAUUGAAAAUCCACAGAUUUUAGCGGCGACGCAGUUGCGCGACCAGUGAAGCUCUGGCUCCGCGACCGGCGUGGAGCGCGCGGUCAGCGCGGCGCUGCUGCGGCUGCUGCGCGGGAGGAUCCCGUCCCUGCGCAUGCGCCUGGCCUUCAAUGACCUCACGCCUCUCUUCUUCCUCUUCUUCAUGCGUCAAUUCAAACAGAGGAGCACCUGUGAUUACUGAUUACCUAAGUUCCUAUAUACAAUAA